UUCCCUGUGGCUCAGUUGGUAGAGCAUGGUGUUUGUAAUGCCAGCAUGGUGUGUGCAAUGCCAGGGUUGUGGGUUCGAUUCCCACGAGGGGGG
rnacentral:tRNA from 1 species